AUUAGCAGCUUUAUCACCUUGCAACUCACAACUGGCAGCCCACUGAAGCUCAACAGGUGCGAGCCUGGCCAGUACCUGGAUGGGAGACCUCCUGGGAAAAACUAAGGUUGCUGCUGGCA
rnacentral:rRNA from 1 species